rnacentral:rRNA from 1 species
GAUGAACACUAGCGGCAGGCUUAACACAUGCAAGUCGAGGGGUAUAGUUCUUCGGAACUAGAGACCGGCGCACGGGUGCGUAACGCGUAUCGAAUCUGCCUCACACUCGGGCAUAGCCUUCCGAAAGGAAGAUUAAUUCCCGAUAUGCCGAUGAAUCGCAUGGUUCGUUGGUGAAAGUUUUGUCGGUGUGAGAUGACGAUGCGUUCCAUUAGCUUGUUGGUGAGGUAACGGCUCACCAAGGCUUCGAUGGAUAGGGGUUCUGAGAGGAAGGUCCCCCACACGGGUACUGAGACACGGACCAGACUCCUACGGGAGGCAGCAGUGAGGAAUAUUGGUCAAUGGGCGCAAGCCUGAACCAGCCAAGUAGCGUGAAGGAUGAAGGCCCUUUGGGUCGUAAACUUCUUUUUUGCGGGGAUAAUUGUAGGGACGUGUCCCUACUUGUAGGUACCGCACGAAUAAGGACCGGCUAACUCCGUGCCAGCCGCCGC